CGCACUUGACUGGGGGUCAAGGGGUCGCAGGUUCAAAUCCUGUCGUCCCGA
rfam:Streptomyces sp. MnatMP-M17 genome assembly, contig: Ga0115259_10702